GUUGGGCACAAAAAUUCGUUCCUGGAAUUACCUCUCACAAGAUUCUCUUUCAGGGUAUUUUAAAGCAAGUUCCACAUACCAUGUUAUUUCACCCAUCAGAAGUGGAGUUAAUAGAAGGCAGGUGUAAUGCAUGGUUCCUGAGAUGCCAGGAUUUAAAAUCUGGUUGAGGAGAUAGCACCGUGUAUGCACAGACCAUGAAACCAAAAUAUUGUGCACCAUCUCAGCAAAGGCGUCCAGAAGGCGUGCACUGUUCCAGGGAUGCAAGAGGGUGUGUGAUGUCAAGAUAAGGGAGCAAUACUGGGUUCAGAAGUGACAUCCUCACAGAAGUUUGAAACAGAGACACUUCGCAAAAAUGAGAGUGGACCUACAAUUGCAGGAUAUUGUUCUCAAGGUUGUUCCUGACCUACACUGGAUGGAAAGAAGCUUCCAGCCGCAUUUCUCGGCCCUCGUUUACACUGUAGCCCCACCUGAGCUCUUGAAAAUCUCGGUGGGUCGCGCUCUCUUUCUCCCACGCCUCUGCGCAUCCUGUUUCCUUGGCCAAAAAUGCCUUCCUGCCUUCCCGCCUUCCACUUCUCCAGCACAACGUGGUGCCAGGUGCGCCUUCCCGGCUCCUACUUACACGUCCGUCUCAUCUGCUCACGGUCGUUACCUCUGCACAGAUCUGCUCUUGUCUGUAAUUCUAAUGGUUGCUUUACUUACUGCUUUCUGUACUAGACUGUAAAUUCCAAUGUACAAUUUGGAGGGGGCAAGCGUCUUUAAAGGGAACAGUUUGGGGGGGCAGGAGCUUUUCAUAGGAACGGGAAGAGAAUAUGUACUUAUUUUGAAUUGCUGUUUCUUCAUCCCCCUGUA